rnacentral:rRNA from 1 species
UACGUAGGGGGCUAGCGUUGUCCGGAAUCAUUGGGCGUAAAGCGCGUGUAGGCGGUCCGGUAAGUCCGCUGUGAAAGUCGGGGGCUCAACCCUCGAAUGCCGGUGGAUACUGUCGGGCUAGAGUGCGGAAGAGGCGAGUGGAAUUCCUGGUGUAGCGGUGAAAUGCGCAGAUAUCAGGAGGAACACCUAUUGCGAAGGCAGCUCGCUGGGACGUAACUGACGCUGAGACGCGGAAGCGUGGGGAGCAAACAGG